AGGACCAGAGGCAUUAAUAAAUUAAUGAUAAGGUUUAUAAUGUUUGCUCGAAAUCUCUUAAUUGUGUGAUGAAAUCAAGAAGUAUGACAUGAACAGGGCAUUUGACAUGCACAGAAGAAACAAAUACAGAUUUUAUAUUAGUAAAUCUUAGUCAUGAAAAUAUUAAAAUGGAACUUCAAAGUAGUGAACAUGUGAAGUGAAUUGAUAUGUCUCACAGCUCAAUGGAUGAUAUUAAGCAGUUAGUGAUGCCUCCACCAAUAUUCACUACAGUUCCAUCACUGCCAAUGUUUCUGGUUGAAACUAGUGAAAGCAGAUUUACUUCACAGUCAGAGAAGCCUGAAUCAUUCAAUAUCCAAUCAACUUCUGAUGGUACAGCAGGUGAAAUUGAAACGGAAACACAGCAGAGACUCCUUAGGAAGCACAUCAAGCAGAGAGGCCCAUUGAUAGCUAAACAAAAUGGUGUCGGGGAUGGGAGUAGUAGCAGAACUGAACUGUUAGUGCAUCCACGAAGGCACCAUCAUCACCACAGGCUUAAAUAUAAGAAAGACUCAUCAGUCCAAUUAAUGGGAAGAGAAGAAUUGACAUGUGACAGGGAUCCGUGUCAGUCAGAAGCACUUGAGUUCCCACCAGAACAACAAGAACCAAAACCAAAACCUAGGCGGAAGCUUCCUCUUACUGAUGUGCAACACAGUCAUGGCCGAUCUGGAAGCCGUGCUGCUCUGUUGCAGGAGUUGGAUAGACUGACAAAUGAAAAUAAGGAACUCAACCUAACUGUGCAGCAGCUAUCAUAUUCUAGUCAAGAUUCAGGCUGUCAGCAAACUACUGUAGAUGAAGCCCUUUGCAAGAAAGAGGAGAUCAUUGAGAUGCUGAAAGAUAAAUUCUUAAAACUGGAGGCAAACUGCAAACACCUUGAGGAACAGAGAGACAAUUAUAGGACAGAGUUAGAAGGCAUGAAAUGUCGGGAGGAAUCUGAGUCAGAACAGAUAACUGCUCUGAAGGCUCAGAAUCAAGAGCUAAGUGAAGAUGUUGCACUGCUUAAGAACUUAGUGUAUAGGCUUAAUGUUGAGCUGGACCGGUGCCAGCAGAGACUGCACAAACAGGGCAGUGCAGGAGAGUUACCUCCACUGAAGACUGUGCCAGCCGAAGUUCAAGAAAAAGAAGCUACUGCAGCUUGGAGAAAUGUCAACAAAAAUGCACUUGGUCCCUUACUUGAAGCAUAUCAGGAAACAAUAAGAGAGAAAGAUGAUCUGAUCCGUAGUUAUGAACAAGAUUUAAAUAAAUUUGUAACAAAGUGUAAGCAAGUUGUUGCUGAAAAUGAGAAAUUGUAUCAGGACUUGGAAGAAUCUAAUAAACAGGCAGAAGAGAAGUCAGGUACCUGGCACACCUUAGAGCAGGACUGUAGCCUGGCACGGGAACAGAAUGAGUUACUUAUGAAUGAGCUACAGCUGCACAAGGACAAGCUGCAGCAAGUACAAGUAGCAUGUGAUGAAAAAGUUGCAGAGCUGACAAAAGACAACGAAAUGUUGGUGAAUAAAUUUCACCAGUAUCGAGGGGAAUUACUGACCUUAAAAGGCCAAUAUUCAGUACUCAGAGAGGAAUAUGAUCAUUUGAAGAAAGAUGCUGACAGCAAAGUUCCAUUUUCUGUACAUUCUGCAUCUGUUUCAGAGUGUAGGCGGUUGCUUGAGGAGUUGAAGACUAAAUAUGAGGGAGACAAGAGCAAUUUGACAACCCAGGUUCAGGAGCUGCAGUCACAGAAGCCUCAUCUGGAGGUGCAGCUUGUUAAUGCGACAACUGAAAACAGUCGACUACAGAUCCAAGUUAAGACACUCGACAAGCUGCUCAAGAGGACACAGCACCGGUGUGAGGAGUUGCAGAAUCAACUGGUUACCUGUCAGGUCUCACGAGAUGCAUCAAAGAGACAGCUUCAGAGGGCUAUGACCUUUGCAGAGGAACUUGUAGCAGAGCAAGAGAACCUGUUGCGUCAGCUGCAUGCAAAACAAGAAGAGAACAACUCUAUAGCUCGUCUAGGCACUACAAUAGUCUACCGUAUGGGUUCUCUGAAGACCAAACUUAAGACUGUGCAAAAGGAUGCACGGGCUGACCUCAAUGUGAUUGAAAAACGCAUUCGUCAACAGGAGACAGACGUGGAGAGAAUGAAGGAUGAAUACCAUCGAGAACUUCUGCGUUUGCGUAAUCUUAUCAAACAGAAGGAAAUUAUCAUCAGUCGUCUGCAGCAGGAGAAAACGAAGACCCAGGAAGACCUUGAAGUGGUGUGGCGAGCAGCAACUUCAGAGGAUUUGCACAUAAAAGAAAAGUUGAAGCAAGCCAGCUUCUUACCUGAAUAGGAAUGUGAUCUCUUCCGAAACCACAGCAGAACUCAGCAGUUAAAAACUGUCUGUAUGUACAAAAGAGAAGUCGGAACAUGCAAAUUUGCUGACAAAAAUACAAUGAUCAUGUUUUUCCAAAUUAUUCCAAGUUUUGUAGGUCCUGAAAACGACCGUUGGUUGCUGAGAUGCUUGGCCAGUGAAGUAGCGUGGCACGCGCCAGUAGGAAGGGAUGUUGGUUGCGGUGUGUUGAGGUGGCUGAGUCAGUUGACUGGCCGCAGUGCAGCCGUUGCUGGAGGUUGCUUGGUUGCUGGAAAAGGUCUGCUUGCCGAGCGCGGUCACAGGAGUGGAGAGGCGGUAGCUACGCCAGUUGCCCAGUGUGUCGGGCAUGACCACCGGUGAAUCGAGGCGGCCGAGUUGCCCAGUGAGUCAGGUGUGACCGCCAGACAGCCAAGGCAGUCGUGCCUGGCGCAGCAAAGUGCCGAUGCCUCCGAAGACUGAGCACUGGCGACGAAGUGUGCUGAUUGCUUGUAGACUGCUUGAAGACUUCUGAGGAACUGACGUGGAACUGACUGAAGACUGACUGACUUGCGAGCGUUGUGCUCCGCCUUUUAUACAGUGCUCGGUGGGCGGAGCAAAACUUGCAUUUGAGGAGCAACAAUUUGCAGAACGCUGAUUGGCUAGCGCGCGUAAUGAUGUGAAUGCGGGCUAGCAGCAAGUGCUGUAUAAAUGCGAACAUUGGAAGCAAUUUGAUUGGUUAGCAUGCGUGAUGGUGAAAAGUGAGCACUGUAGAAAUAGUGUGAUAUGUGGGAUGUUCCCACAAGAAAGAAACAUUUCUAGACAUAUUUAAGUUAAUACUGUGGAGAACUAUGGCGUUUACUUUAAUUUCAAUGAUAUGAGUAUAAUAUUACAUAUAAGUGGGACAUGAGAUGAACACUACAUAAUAAGAUGUUAUAGAAUUCUAAUAUCAGUAGCCGGUAUAUGUUUGUUGAAGUGAUCAUAUUGUGAUCUUGUUAUAUUUGUUAUGCACCGUGCCCUUCAUCUUCUUCUCCCUGGGAUUAUUAUUACGAAGAGGAAGGGCACAGUGCAAUCGUUACUGGACUUAUUGUUGGUUCCCACGCUCCCCGAGAUGGACGUGGGGUAUCCAAGCUAGGAGGAGGAAGCUACACUCAGUUCGUUGGCUUAGAUAAGAACAAAUACAAUUUUAAUAAAAA